rnacentral:rRNA from 1 species
UUGACCUCAAAUCAGGUAGGAUUACCCGCUGAACUUAAGCAUAUCAAUAAGCGGAGGAAAAGAAACUAACAAGGAUUCCCCUAGUAACUGCGAGUGAAGAGGGAAAAGCUCAAAUUUAAAAUCUGGCAGUCGUUGAUUGUCCGAGUUGUAAUUUAGAGAAGUGCUACCCGUGUUGGCCCGUGUACAAGUUUCCUGGAAUGGAAUGUCAUAGAGGGUGAGAAUCCCGUCUUUGACACGGACUACCAAUGCAUUGUGGUGUGCUCUCGAAGAGUCGAGUUGUUUGGGAAUGCAGCUCUAAAUGGGUGGUAAAUUCCAUCUAAAGCUAAAUAUUGGGGAGAGACCGAUAGCGAACAAGUACCGUGAGGGAAAGAUGAAAAGAACUUUGGAAAGAGAGUUAAAUAGUACGUGAAAUUGCUGAAAGGGAAACGCUUGAAGUCAGUCACGUUAGUUUGGGAUCAGCCUUUCCUUCGGGGUUGGUGUACUUCCAGAUUGACGGGUCAGCAUCAGUUUUGGCCGGUAGAUAAAAGCUUGAGGAAUGUGGCAUCUUCGGGUGUGUUAUAGCCUCUUGUUGUAUACAUCGGCUGGGACUGAGGAACUCAGCAUGCCGCAAGGCCGGGUUUUUAACCACGUUCAUGCUUAGGAUGCUGGCAUAAUGGCUUUAAU